CUGCAAGCCCUGCGGAGAAUUCUCUCUUCUUCGUAAAAGAUUGCGUCCGUGGAAUCGGCUCGUCUGGAGAUACGAAUAUGGUUCCAGUAGAGCGCCGCGUCUCAGGCAGCGUCCGCUGCGCUCUCGGCGGUCCUGGAAAAUCCAAGUCCGUGACGAUUCGCAGCUCUCGCGUCAGUCCGUAUCGACCAUUUGCAACAGGUCUCCAAGAUGUACUUCUUCUAGUCGAUAGCGCCACUGUAGGUAAGGGAAGUCGGCAAACUAGAUCCGUACUUUCAGAAAAAGGAUUGGUUCCGAGGACCAAGUCGGUCGGGCCGUGUGUGUUGCCGCGCGACAACGUCACCGUUCUUUCGUUGUUUAUUUUCACUGUAGUCUACGAAAUAACCGGAGAUGCAUUUAGACUUAGUAUUGUAAAUCUGUUAUUCUUUUUUAUACUGGAAAUUAUGAACAUUAGUGUCGUUAUUAACAGUUUUUCUAACUGACCAAUCACUAAGAAUGUGUAUCUCGUUCAAGAUGUACUAGUUUUGUUUUUCUAACCGAUGUUUACAUUCUUUGUCAACAUGUACCAGCAAAAAAUACACAUGUAUAUCCUCACGCCCGCGCAUGU
rnacentral:ncRNA from 1 species